GGUCAUGUACCGGUUCCCGUGAGAUCACUGGAGGUAAGCAACAUCGAGUCUGGUCAGUACCUAGAUGGGUGACCGCUUAGGAAUGCCAUGUGCUGUAAG